CAGAUCGUUUUCCGGAGGCAAAAUUCAUCCCGGAGCUCUUCAUUUAGUCACUUCUCAUUUCAAGAGGAUCACGUCUUCCCAAUAACUCUAAAUGUUUAGAUACCCACUUGAGCUGGUGUUUGCAUUAUGGAUGUUUGUACACCAGCACACUUUCACUGAAUGACACAUUCACGCUUUUACUCGAGCAAACAACGCGCUCGAAAGCGAAAGUAAUUCCACUAACACACUUUCACUGCUGCUGUAACUCUGAGCUGAUUCCGCCCAAUGGACGACAGACAGCACUGCCAUUCCGCACGUCAUUCAACACAGCAUCCAGCAGAGAUGGAGGUGAUCCGGUCUGAAUCCGGUCUGAAUCCUGCUCCUGACGGCUCUGAGGAGGCCGAGAUCCAGACGGCCAUGCUGUGGAGCAUCCAGGAGGCCGUUCAGCGGCAGACGCUGCAGAUCGGGGUCUCUGCGUGCGGAGCCACCGCGGUGGUGGACGUCCUGCAGGCGCUGGGCAUCACGGUCACACCAGAGACGGUCAACCACUGCGUGCGGACCUGUCUGAGGAGGAACGAGGCGCCGCUGCCCGAUUAUCUGCACUCGCGCAGCAAUGCUGGUGCGACACAUCUGCAGCUGAUGGACGGGGCGGAGCAGGCCAGCGGGGGCCGCGUCAUGGGCCGCUUCUUUGGCUUCUAUCCGCGGCGGAGGGUGAAGCUGGUGCCGUGGUUGGCGCGCUGGAUACUGCGUGGAGCCGUUCCUGUUGCCACCAUGAACAUGCAGAAGGCCGUUCCUGAAGGAGAAGAGAUUCCCGACGCCUGGCACCACCAGCUCAUCUUUGGCGUGGGCCCCAGUGCCGUAUUCAUGACCAACCCUCUGGACGUGGAUCCUAGACUUGUUGUUUUCUUCCACAGUGAGUGAAGACGAGGUUCAUGAGCGUCUUUGCAGCGAGUCUGUGCUGCUCAUUCGCCGUGAAGAUGUUCUGAAGAGACUGACACCAGAUGUUCAACUAUCACAGAUCUCAGAUCAGCAUCCCGACCUGCGCUGGAAAACAUUGAAUGUGGAGGGUCAAGUUAGAGAGAUGGUCAGUGAAGAAGAGCAGAGGGAUGAAGAGCGUCCUAAGAUGUCGCAUCUCAUGAUUCCAGCGGCGUACAGCUCCGGAGUGACUCUCUUUGCUCUCAGAGACUCUGAUGUCGGUCGAGAGCUUCUCAACACGUCAGAACUGCCUCUGCUGUGAUUUUACAAUUCAUUUCCUGCUGAUGAAAUCAACAGUUAAUUAAGUUAUUAAGGAGCUGACAUUGGAUCAAUAUUUAUGUCUGUUUUUAUCCUUGGGAUUUUAAAUAGAUGUGUUUUGUGUUAAUGUUGUUUUUUUCCAUGUUGUUUCAGCAUUUAUUGGUUGACAGCAUCAUGUUUAUCAAAUAAAAGGCAAGAAAUGCAACUUUGUUUUAAAAGA